GUGAGACAGUUCGGUCCCUAUCUGCCGUGGGCGCUGGAGAACUGAGGGGGGCUGCUCCUAGUACGAGAGGACCGGAGUGGACGCAUCACUGGUGUUCGGGUUGUCAUGCCAAUGGCACUGCCCGGUAGCUAAAUGCGGAAGAGAUAAGUGCUGAAAGCAUCUAAGCACGAAACUUGCCCCGAGAUGAGUUCUCCCUGACUCUUUAAGGGUCCUGAAGGAACGUUGAAGACGACGACGUUAAUAGGCCGGGUGUGUAAGCGCAGCGAUGCGUUGAGCUAACCGGUACUAAUGAACCGUGAGGCUUAACCUUACAACGCCGAAG
rnacentral:rRNA from 1 species